rnacentral:rRNA from 1 species
UAGGGAAUCUUCGGCAAUGGACGAAAGUCUGACCGAGCAACGCCGCGUGAGUGAAGAAGGUUUUCGGACCGUAAAACUCUGUUGUUAGAGAAGAACAAGGACGUUAGUAACUGAACGUCCCCUGACGGUAUCUAACCAGAAAGCCACGGCUAACUACGUGCCAGCAGCCGCGGUAAUACGUAGGUGGCAAGCGUUGUCCGGAUUUAUUGGGCGUAAAGCGAGCGCAGGCGGUUUCUUAAGUCUGAUGUGAAAGCCCCCGGCUCAACCGGGGAGGGUCAUUGGAAACUGGGAGCCUUGAGUGCAGAAGGGGGGAGUGGAAUUCCAUGUGUAGCGGUGAAAUACGUAGAUAUAUGGAGGAACACCAGUGGCGAAGGCGGCUCUCUGGUCUGUAACUGACGCUGAGGCACGAAAGCGUGGGGAGCAAACAGG